UUUGCUUUUCUCCUAGUUUUUUUUAGUCUCUCUUUUGGAGCCCAAGUACGCGCCCUUUGAAUGGGGUUUCAGUGCUUUUUAGUUGGAUUUAUGGGAAGAUCUACAUGUUGUAGUUGGAUUCCUUAUUGUGCGGUGUGAACCCGUUCCAAGCUUCGUAGCAAUCAUGGAGGUGGGCACUGUUCUAGUCCCCUUUGCCUAGUCCAUUUCCAAUUCGUCCGGCAUGGUUCUAGUCUCUGAAUGCUCUCUAGUUUUGCUACUUUCUCCCGCUUUCUACCUAGAUCCAUCAUUUCAAGGCC
rnacentral:misc_RNA from 1 species